rnacentral:rRNA from 1 species
UUGACCUCGGAUCAGGUAGGGAUACCCGCUGAACUUAAGCAUAUCAAUAAGCGGAGGAAAAGAAACCAACAGGGAUUGCCUCAGUAACGGCGAGUGAAGCGGCAAGAGCUCAAAUUUGAAAUCUGGCUCCUUCGGGGUCCGAGUUGUAAUUUGUAGAGGAUGCUUCGGGUGCGGCCCCCGUCUAAGUGCUCUGGAACGGGCCAUCGGAGAGGGUGAAAAUCCCGUCUGGGACGGGGUGUCCGCGUCCAUGUGAAGCUCCUUCGACGAGUCGAGUUGUUUGGGAAUGCAGCUCUAAAUGGGUGGUAAAUUUCAUCUAAAGCUAAAUACUGGCCGGAGACCGAUAGCGCACAAGUAGAGUGAUCGAAAGAUGAAAAGCACUUUGAAAAGAGAGUUAAACAGCACGUGAAAUUGUUGAAAGGGAAGCGCUUGCGACCAGACUCGCUUCCGGGGUUCAGCCGGCUUUCGGGCCGGUGUACUUCCCCGGGGGCGGGCCAGCGUCGGUUUGGGCGGCCGGUCAAAGGCCCCUGGAAUGUAACGCCCCUCGGGGCGCCUUAUAGCCAGGGGUGUCAUGCGGCCAGCCUGGACCGAGGAACGCGCUUCGGCACGGACGCUGGCAUAAUGGUCGUAAACGACCCGUCUUGA